rnacentral:rRNA from 1 species
AUACGGAGGGGGUUAGCGUUGUUCGGAAUUACUGGGCGUAAAGCGUACGUAGGCGGAUCGGAAAGUAUGGGGUGAAAUCCCAGGGCUCAACCCUGGAACUGCCUCAUAAACUCCUGGUCUUGAGUUCGAGAGAGGUGAGUGGAAUUCCGAGUGUAGAGGUGAAAUUCGUAGAUAUUCGGAGGAACACCAGUGGCGAAGGCGGCUCACUGGCUCGAUACUGACGCUGAGGUACGAAAGUGUGGGGAGCAAACAGGAUUAGAAACCCUAGUAGUCC